rnacentral:rRNA from 1 species
UGCCAGCAGCCGCGGUAAUACGAAGGGGGCUAGCGUUGUUCGGAAUCACUGGGCGUAAAGCGCACGUAGGCUGACUGGUCAGUUGGGGGUGAAAUCCCGGGGCUCAACCUCGGAACUGCCUUCAAUACUGCCAGUCUUGAGUCCGAGAGAGGUGAGUGGAAUUCCGAGUGUAGAGGUGAAAUUCGUAGAUAUUCGGAGGAACACCAGUGGCGAAGGCGGCUUUCUGGACCGAUACUGACGCUGAGACGCGAAAGCGUGGGGAGCAAACAGGAUUAGAUA